CCUACGGGUGGCAGCAGUGAGGAAUAUUGGUCAAUGGACGAGAGUCUGAACCAGCCAAGUAGCGUGAAGGAUGACUGCCCUAUGGGUUGUAAACUUCUUUUAUAUGGGAAUAAAACGUUCCACGUGUGGGAUUUUGUAUGUACCUUAUGAAUAAGGAUCGGCUAACUCCGUGCCAGCAGCCGCGGUAAUACGGAGGAUCCGAGCGUUAUCCGGAUUUAUUGGGUUUAAAGGGAGCGUAGGUGGAUUGUUAAGUCAGUUGUGAAAGUUUGCGGCUCAACCGUAAAAUUGCAGUUGAAACUGGCAGUCUUGAGUACAGUAGAGGUGGGCGGAAUUCGUGGUGUAGCGGUGAAAUGCUUAGAUAUCACGAAGAACUCCGAUUGCGAAGGCAGUUCACUGGACUGCAACUGACACUGAGGCUCGAAAGUGUGGGUAUCAAACAGGAUUAGAUACCCCAGUAGUC
rnacentral:rRNA from 1 species